AUAGAAUAGAUCAUGUAAUUUAUUACAUUCAUUAAAAUUUCUUUUUAGUCUAAAAUAUUUAUUCUA
rnacentral:tRNA from 1 species